AAAAAACCUACUGAUAACUGUUGCCAUUUGUCUAGUCCACUCUAUCUAUUCAUGAAAGUGUGCAACUUAUCCCAAGUUGUACUAAUUAAUUAAUGGUCAUCUAUUCAUGAAAGUGUGCAACUUAUCCCAAGUUGUACUAAUUAAUUAAUGGUCCUAAGUGAUUCUUUUGUCAAGUUCAGAGUAGCACUUAAUCAGUAAACUAUAUAACCAGAAGCCCCUACAGGUCUACACUAUCCAAAACUAUCUAGAUGACCCUUUCAAUUGAUUUUGCACAUGUAGCUUACUGAUGAUGUUGAUUUUGCUUAUGUGGAAUGCCAUACCACUCAAACCUUCUUUUUGCUUCCCUUCCUUCUUUCUGUAUCAAGUUUGGGUAGAGUGUGUCCUUCCCUUCCUUCUUUCUGUAUCAAGUUUGGGUAGAGUGUGUCCUUGGUUGCUCUGCAAACCUCCUGGGCAUUCCUAACCAAUAAAUUCAUAUCUAGGAAGCACCAACCUUCAUGAAAUAGAAUUUAUUUAUUUAUUCUCAAAAAUGCAGGACUGCGCUUCAUUUCAUUAGAAGGAAAAAUUGAAAGUAAUUACAAAGGAGAGGAGCAAAAAUGUCCUCCCACAUAACACACUCACACUACACGUCGCCACUAUGAUAGACAGUUGAAUGUUUCUAUGAAAAAAAAGGACAAACAAUUCAAGUAUAUGUAAUCAUGUGAAUGAAGGAAAUGUGCUGUGAACAAAUCGAUCAGAGUCCAGUAUCUCAUCAAAUCAUCACCCCUCUAACUAACAGAUCACCCCUAACUAACCGUGAGUCUGUCUAUUCUUGAACCAUUGGUUCAAAGAUAAA
rnacentral:lncRNA from 1 species